ensembl:lncRNA
UAAAGUUUUGCGAAGCCAGGGGGCGGGACUACUUGAUUGACAGGUCCUAUGGAGGAGGCAGCAGAGACUCUGCUCUCCUCGUUUGGAUUAAUUCUGAUAUAAUAACUGUUGGUUUAUUUAUCGGUGGAGCAGCAGAACCUUUUCCACAGACAGUUUUCCUGCCUGUUGGCUUGUUUUAACCAGUUUUCUGCCUUCGGCUGUUUCUACCAGCAGACACUGAAAGGACUCUGUUUGAGUGAAAGUAGCAGUUCCUCCUGAAGGUCAGAGAUUGCAGCAUCUGAGGGCCUCUUCAAAAGAAGACGUAGUUGAUGAAGGCGUUCUGGAGCAGGACCAGAAAGACCACGACCAAGCAGCCUUGAGAUCUUAGGCAGCGUCUCCCUCAGACCAAAGAACUACAGACUUCACAACCUGCUCAAACUCUUGGUACAGGACCUCACCACACGGGUCAAGAAGGUUUCUGUCUCAUUUCUACUCUGAAGCUCACCUUCUCCUGCUAUAACUGCUGACAAAUGUUUCUGCUACUCUAAAGUCUGGUCUCCAGAACUUCCUAAAAACUCUCAAAGUCUCUUCUGCUGCAGGCUGCUUUGUAGAACUGUUCCAGAAAACCUCACUAAACCACAUGGAGGGGCCUCAAGAUAGUCGUCCAAAUGAAACCAUACAAAAACCAAACUAGCACAACCCAAACACUAAAGUCUCCUGCAGCCUACCAGAGAACCUCUGAGAACAGAGAAUCAGGACAGGAACUCUUACCUUCUGGACAACCAACGCUGGUUCACCAACAAGAAUACAGAAUGUGUCUGACCAAAAACCUCUAAAGACUCACCACAGCCAAGAUAAAGACACAACUCAGCUGCACCAAAUCCACUAAUCACUGCACACACUAGCACCAUGUGCUAACUGUGGCUAAAGAACCACAUUUACCAAGACAACUAUCCAGUACAAAGCCCUAAAACACACCAAGAAACACAUUAAAGACGAUUUUACUGCUGGAAGCUGCAAGCCAACGUCUAAACAACAAACUAAAUCAAUGGAACCAAACCCGAUUCAGUGGUGAACAGAAGCAGAGGAAAUGUUUGGCUGCAGCUAAAUAAAGCAGGAAGACACCGAGCUGCUCAGGUGUUCCUGAUAACACCAAGCAGCCACCUGGACAGCCAAUAGGAACACAGCUUACUGGAAGUCCAGAGGGCUGGCUUAGUCAAGGAAAUUUAGUUUAAAGUUGAAGUAGAAAGUUAACAAAGAAAGUUGAAAACCACCUUCUGAUCCAUGAAAUCUCUGAGUUUUCACACAAAGAACACCUGAACAUGUCAAACUGGUUCCAUAGUAGAACCCUCAUUGUAAAAACGUCAUAGUAUGGUGUGUUGCUCAAAAAACAUUAGGACCCGGCUGUCUAGGGUCACCGAGGAGCAACACAAAAACAGGACAAAUGCUGGUUUCCAGGGGGUUAGGAGGCUAUUUAUUUGAAAGAGGAAGUUUACAACAACACAACAUGUGAGCAGAAAAAUCACAAAGUCUGUCUUUAGUUCAGCUGAAAACAUUAGUUUUUGUCUUUUUUUACUGACCAAACUUUUCAGGAAGUAGAUGAAAAAUAAUUAAAGCUCUCAUGUAGAAGUCCAACUUAUUUUGGAUCCUUGUGGAGAGUUUAAUCUUAGAGUUUGUAAAGCUGUUGAGUUUUUAGAGUCACAUGGAUUGUUUUGACAUUUAAUAACCAAGUCCUGAAAUAAAAUAUAAAAUCAUUCAUAUCGUAGCGUAUCACCAAAAUUGUGCAACAUAAUUCAUAAAGACACUGUCCUACACUAUCUUUGCAAAAAUAAGUCAUAGUAUAAAUGUUUGUAAAAAUAGUAUUUUAUGUCGUAAAUAAACAUCAAAGUAUGGUAUGUCAUAAAAAUCUGUCAUAUUGUAGUAUAUGACUUAAAUAGUGCAUCAUAUGGUCUAAAAAUACAAGUCAUAGUAUAAUGUGGCAGAAAAACAACAUAUGUAAUUUGUCACAAAACAAUUGUCUAUCAUGUCAGAAGAAUUUCAUAGUCGUGAGAAUUUGUCAGGAUGUAAGAUACGGUGAAAACAAUGGAAAGCAACUUGUUAAAAUACUUUUAUAUUGUAUUUAUUUUCAUUUUAUAUUUUAUUUAUUUUUUGUAUUUUUUACAUUUCAUAAAAAACGUCAUUGCAUAAUAUGGCAUUUAAAAAAAUGCCAUAAUAUACUAUGUCGAAAAAAAAAAUGCAAUUUUUCAACAUGUUGCAAAAAAGUGCCAUAUGAUGAAAUAAUGUAUAGGGGGCCGUGUAAAACACUCCAGAAAGG